rnacentral:rRNA from 1 species
UACGAAGGGGGCUAGCGUUGUUCGGAAUUACUGGGCGUAAAGCGCACGUAGGUGGAUUGUUAAGUGAGGGGUGAAAUCCCAGGGCUCAACCCUGGAACUGCCUCUCAUACUGGCGAUCUCGAGUCCGGAAGAGGUGAGUGGAAUUCCGAGUGUAGAGGUGAAAUUCGUAGAUAUUCGGAGGAACACCAGUGGCGAAGGCGGCUCACUGGUCCGGUACUGACGCUGAGAUGCGAAAGCCAGGGAAGCAAACGGG